rnacentral:rRNA from 1 species
GACGAACGCUGGCGGCGUGCUUAACACAUGCAAGUCGAACGGAAAGGCCCUGCUUUUGUGGGGUGCUCGAGUGGCGAACGGGUGAGUAACACGUGAGUAACCUGCCCUUGACUUUGGGAUAACUUCAGGAAACUGGGGCUAAUACCGGAUAGGAGCUCCUGCUGCAUGGUGGGGGUUGGAAAGUUUCGGCGGUUGGGGAUGGACUCGCGGCUUAUCAGCUUGUUGGUGGGGUAGUGGCUUACCAAGGCUUUGAAGGGUAGCCGGCCUGAGAGGGUGGCCGGCCACAUUGGGACUGAGCUACGACCCAGACUCCUACGGGAGGCAGCAGUGGGGAAUAGUGCACAAUGGGCGGAAGCCUGAUGCAGCCACGCCGCGUGCGGGAUGACGGCCUUCGGGUUGUAAACCGCUUUCGCCUGUGACGAAGCGUGAGUGACGGUAAUGGGUAAAGAAGCACCGGCUAACUACGUG